rnacentral:rRNA from 1 species
UACGUAGGGACCGAGCGUUGUCCGGAAUCAUUGGGCGUAAAGCGCGUGUAGGCGGCUUGGUAGGUUUCGUGUUAAAUCCCUCGGCUCAACCGAGGAAUCGCACGGAAAACCACCUCGCUAGAGUCCGGAAGAGGGAAACGGAAUUCCAGGUGUAGCGGUGAAAUGCGCAGAUAUCUGGAAGAACACCCGUGGCGAAGGCGGUUCUCUGGGACGGUACUGACGCUGAGACGCGAAAGCGUGGGGAGCAAACAGG